GCAGUGUACCCGCGGCAAGACGGAAAGACCCCGUGAACCUUUACUAUAGCUUGACACUGAACAUUGAGCCUUGAUGUGUAGGAUAGGUGGGAGGCUUUGAAGCGUGGACGCCAGUCUGCGUGGAGCCGACCUUGAAAUACCACCCUUUAAUGUUUGAUGUUCUAACGUGGACCCGUGAUCCGGGUUGCGGACAGUGUCUGGUGGGUAGUUUGACUGGGGCGGUCUCCUCCUAAAGAGUAACGGAGGAGCACGAAGGUUGGCUAAUCCUGGUCGGACAUCAGGAGGUUAGUGCAAUGGCAUAAGCCAGCUUGACUGCGAGCGUGACGGCGCGAGCAGGUGCGAAAGCAGGUCAUAGUGAUCCGGUGGUUCUGAAUGGAAGGGCCAUCGCUCAACGGAUAAAAGGUACUCCGGGGAUAACAGGCUGAUACCGCCCAAGAGUUCAUAUCGACGGCGGUGUUUGGCACCUCGAUGUCGGCUCAUCACAUCCUGGGGCUGAAGUAGGUCCCAAGGGUAUGGCUGUUCGCCAUUUAAAGUGGUACGCGAGCUGGGUUUAGAACGUCGUGAGACAGUUCGGUCCCUAUCUGCCGUGGGCGCUGGAGAACUGAGGGGGGCUGCUCCUAGUACGAGAGGACCGGAGUGGACGCAUCACUGGUGUUCGGGUUGUCAUGCCAAUGGCACUGCCCGGUAGCUAAAUGCGGAAGAGAUAAGUGCUGAAAGCAUCUAAGCACGAAACUUGCCCCGA
rnacentral:rRNA from 1 species